rnacentral:tRNA from 1 species
GAUGUAGCCAAGUGGAUCAAGGCAGUGGAUUCUGAAUCCACC